rnacentral:misc_RNA from 1 species
GUUUGAUGCUUUCUGGAAGACUUGUCAAAUUUGAGCAUUCAUCGAGACAAAGUUCUUUAAGACAUUUCAACUCACCUAUGCUGCUAGGAAGACUCACGAGGCUUGAACAUUCAUAGAGAGAGAGUUCUUCAAGAUGUUUCAAUUUGCAAAUGCUGCUUGGAAGACUCACUACUUCUAUACACUCAUUCAAGGACAAUUUGACAAGCUGAGAUAGAUGCUCAAUUGAUGAGGGCAGUUGUUCUAU